rnacentral:rRNA from 1 species
UACAGAGGGUGCGAGCGUUGUUCGGAAUGACUGGGCGUAAAGCGCGCGUAGGCGGAUCAGGAAGUUGGGGGUGAAAUCCCGGGGCUCAACCCCGGAAUGGCCUUCAAAACUCCUGGUCUUGAGUUCGAGAGAGGUGAGUGGAAUUCCGAGUGUAGAGGUGAAAUUCGUAGAUAUCGGGAGGAACACCUGUGGCGAAAGCGGCUCACUGGACCAUUACUGACGCUGAUGCUCGAAAGCUAGGGGAGCAAACAGG